AAGGGCUUGCCACAUAGUGCUGGUGACAAUUGGUGGUGCUAAGCGAUUGUAGAAAAACUUUGCAAGAGAGAUGCUUUGGCUUGUCUUCAGUUGGUAUGAGAUUGUCAGGCUUUGCAAGAUGGAAACAUUUGCAUAUACAGAAAGGGACGCUAAAGUAGAGCAAUCAAAGCUACCUCAGCAACAUUCCAAAGGCCUGGAGAGGAUGGCCCUGGCUAGUCAUAUAGGGAGUUUGAAUAUUGUGGCAAGCCAGUUUGGAUUACAGAUAGGACAGUGAGAAAGGGUGACAGAAUUCUAUCUGUUUAAUUAUGCAGUAAUUUUGCAGAACAGAGUAUUGUGAAAUAUAAAUGCGUGGCAGCAGGUGCAAUCGACAGUGUGUUUUGAUGACUGAUAUUGUUACAGAAGUAUUUAGAAACAACAAUUUUACACCGAAAGUGGUGAAGUAGUGGCAGGUAAUUAGCUGGACCUGUCAGCGUAUCACUUUCUUGUCUACCUUUACAUGUGAAUAGUUUAUAUGCCAGGUGUUUCCAUGAUGAUUAUUUAUAAUAUUUAAACAGAGCCAUAUUGAAAUAAAUGUACGGUUCCUUUGGAGGCACGCUCUGAGCGGUAGUGGCCAUGGUGUGUGCAGGUGACACAAAUAAAUAGUCGCUAAUUAACAAAAAUCUAAUAACACUUAGACUGUUAAUUUUAGUGGGCUCAUCAUCACCAGGAAAUUGAAGUGAACUCUUUGUACAAGCCAUGUCAACGUGUGGAUUUGAAGAAAAAAAAUUUGAUUACCUGUGGUAUUGCGGCACAAGGAAUCUUGGCUAUCUGAGCAGAUGAAACCAAAACUGGGAGGUGGAAGCGUGCGCAUAGUGUUACAUUUGGUGUAUUCGCCGAAGAGUGGAGGCCAGGUUCACUGUGGUACCAACAUCAAACAACAUUCCACUGAGCUAAAGUUGACACUGAGAGGCUGACAGUGACGGAAAAUUAGAAGUCAGCGUGAGAACAAGAUGAUGGAGGUUUUCCCAGAAGUUCAGCAAAAGGUGCCAGGACCUGGAGAAGCUUUACCUUCUGGUGAGCCUGGGCCAUUGACCUCUCCGCGGUUGUCAGUGAAACACUGGGUGUGGUAUGCUUGUUUCCCCCUUUCCAGGAUCAGCUUGCGGGUGGUGCAUGGGCAUUUCGUCAACCUUCUUCUCCUUUGAGGCGGUGUGCUGUGCCGAUACGAACCACGAGACUGGUAGUUUGAAACACCCAUUUUCCUAGUGAGUGAUCUAGGGAAGACUGAGGAUUUUUGACAGACAUCCUAUUAGUGUGUGGUUUACUCUUCCAGUCUGCUCUGACAUGUAGCUCAUGCUAUGAGAAUGAUGUGCUCCUGCCAGUAUGGAUAUCUUGUGCCUUUUCCUGUAAAUAAGUUUGCCCAUUUUCCCCCAUGUGAAUAAACCCCCUGUCCUAUUCCUCCAACCUCCUGACCUCGUACUCAUAAAAAAAAUCAACCAUUACAAUUCUCCCCAAUGCAAAAUCUGAGCACAGCUCUAUAACUGUCUUCAUUUUGCAAUAUAGUGAGGCAUCACACCGAUCACCACACCGACUGGCAGAGCUGCGACGCAUGGUGUUAUAUAUAGAGAGGCCACACAGUUGCCGCUUUCCGGCAGCUGCAGCUUAUGCAACCGUAAUCUUUACCGGGAAAUGCUUGCAGCAAACAAUAUGCGUGAAGGAGAGCUUUCUGGUUCUUUUUUUUCCCCUGCAUGGCUAGUGCCGCUGCGGACAUGCACGCCAUCUGGUGGUGCUUCAAGACUUUGUUGCUGUGAAUCGCCGCCCUGGCCUCCCAUGUGUCCCAGACUCACACACAGGAAGACGUCUGC